UACGUAGGUGGCAAGCGUUGUCCCGGAUUUACUGGGCGUAAAGAGCGCGCAGGCGGUCGAUCAAGUCGCGUGUGAAAGCCCCCCGGCUCAACUGGGGAGGGUCACGCGAUACUGAUCGACUCGAAGGCAGGAGAGGGUAGUGGAAUUCCCGGUGUAGUGGUGAAAUGCGUAGAUAUCGGGAGGAACACCAGUGGCGAAGGCGACUACCUGGCCUGUUCUGACGCUGAGGCGCGAAAGCUA
rnacentral:rRNA from 1 species